AGCGAACGCUGGCGGCAGGCCUAACACAUGCAAGUCGAACGAACCUUUCGGGGUUAGUGGCGGACGGGUGAGUAACACGUGGGAACGUGCCUUUAGGUUCGGAAUAACUCAGGGAAACUUGUGCUAAUACCGAAUGUGCCCUUCGGGGGAAAGAUCUAUCGCCUUUAGAGCGGCCCGCGUCUGAUUAGCUAGUUGGUUGAGGUAAUGGCUCACCAAGGCGACGAUCAGUAGCUGGUCUGAGAGGAUGAUCAGCCACAUUGGGACUGAGACACGGCCCAAACUCCUACGGGAGGCAGCAGUGGGGAAUCUUGCGAAAUGGGCGAAAGCCUGACGCAGCCAUGCCGCGUGAAUGAUGAAGGUCUUAGGAUUGUAAAAUUCUUUCACCGGGGACGAUAAUGACGGUACCCGGAGAAGAAGCCCCGGCUAACUUCGUG
rnacentral:rRNA from 1 species